UAGGUUACCUGGCAGGGUAGAUACCAUGAUCACCAAGGGUGAGACCUGUCCAUUGCAUUCUUGGUGGGCUGACCCCUGAGAGUUUUCCCGAAUGUGGGACACUCGACUGCACAAUUCUGUAGCAAUGGGGGAUUACAUUCAUGCUUCCCUCAU
rnacentral:snRNA from 1 species